GUAAGAUAAGCUAAACUAAGCUAGUGGGUUCAUACCCCAAAAAUGAGUAUAACUCUCUUACUA
rnacentral:tRNA from 1 species